AUUGAGCGCUGGCGGCAGGCCUAACACAUGCAAGUCGAGCGGGGUUUUCGGACCUAGCGGCGGACGGGUGAGUAAUGCGUAGGAAGCUGCCCGAUAGGAGGGGGAUACCAGUUGGAAACGACUGUUAAUACCGCAUAAUGUCUACGGACCAAAGUGUGGGACCUUCGGGCCACAUGCUAUCGGAUGGCGCCUACGGUGGG
rnacentral:rRNA from 1 species